GACGAACCGUACGAACGUUAUUCGGAAUCACUGGGCUUAAAGGGUGCGUAGGCGGCGCGACAAGUUGGGUGUGAAAUCCCUCGGCUCAACCGAGGAACUGCGCCCAAAACUGUCGUGCUCGAGGGAGACAGAGGUGAGCGGAACUUAGGGUGGAGCGGUGAAAUGCGUUGAUAUCAUUUGGAACGCCAAUGGUGAAAACAGCUCGCUGGGGAUGUACUGACGCUGAGACACGAAAGCCAGGGGAGCAAACGGG
rnacentral:rRNA from 1 species